GCCAGCAGCCAUAUCACUCUACAACUCACAACUCAUUGAAGCUAAGCAGGUGUGAGCCUGGUCAGUACCUGGAUGGGAGACCUCCAUGGGAAAAACUAAGCUUGCUGCUGGGA
rnacentral:rRNA from 1 species